rnacentral:lncRNA from 1 species
CCCCAAACCCGCCCCUCCCUCCCUGGCUGAGCCCAGUUCCACUUCCUCAUUGCAGCCCCCGCCAGCUCCGGCCCUGAGGACUUCCAGUACUUUGUCACCACCACGGAGCUCACAGAGGAGGCCAUCCUGAUGAAAGUCCAGCUCGUGACCCCCUGUGGCCCAGGCCAGAGAGCCCCAAGCCCUGAUCGCCUGGCACCCCAGCCCCUCCCAAGAUUAGCCCAGGGAAGCAUGGCAGACCUGGUCUUUGGGCUGGAAGUCUACAAUGACAUCUUGUCCUGCCUCUACACCAGCACAGAGACCCCUGUGGACCCCCAGGAUCCCACAGCCUCUGAACUCAUUCGGCUGUUGUCACUAAGAGAACUGGAGCCCGGGCCCGAGGCUUCCCAUCUGUCCAGAGGGAGCAUGGGACUGACCAUCAAGGCCCCUGAUCCUCCCACGGUCCGCCUUGACAGCCACGAGGCCAUGGUCGUCCAGCCGGGCUUGCUCGUGCUGCUGGAGCCCAGCGAUACCUCCUCUGUCCCAGUCUCCUGGAAACUCUUUUCAAAGGCUGUGUUUUCCUCGAGAAAUCAGGACCUAAGAAUCCAGUUUGAUCCAAACAGCACCACGGUCACCCUGGGCCCCUACCCCGCUGGCAUCAAGAGACAGGUGAGUCCCUUCCCUUGGCCUUGGCCUCAUCCAAGUCGAAAGCCUCAUUCACUUUCUACCCCUGAUC